rnacentral:rRNA from 1 species
CAGUCGCCACGGUAAUACGAAGGGUGCAAGCGUUAAUCGGAAUUACUGGGCGUAAAGCGUGCGUAGGCGGUUUGUUAAGUCUGCUGUGAAAUCCCCGGGCUCAACCUGGGAAUGGCAGUGGAUACUGGCAAGCUAGAGUGUGUCAGAGGAUGGUGGAAUUCCCGGUGUAGCGGUGAAAUGCGUAGAGAUCGGGAGGAACAUCAGUGGCGAAGGCGGCCAUCUGGGACAACACUGACGCUGAGGCACGAAAGCGUGGGGAGCAAACAGGAUUAGAUACCCGUGUAGUCCCUGUCUCUUAUAC